rnacentral:misc_RNA from 1 species
GAACGCACAUUGCGCCCUAUGGUAUUCCGUAGGGCAUGCCUGUCUGAGCGUCAACUCCCACCCUCUCAAGUCUUUCUUUUGCUAGGAGAUUUGGAUUGCUUUGAGGAAGUAUCAUUUUUUUUAUGCUGCUCCUCAGAAAUUUAUAGGCAGUAUGGUCAAACCUGAACCAGGCGUAAUAAUUCUAUAAAAUCGUCUAAUGAAAGGAAAGUCUGUAUUAGUCUUUAACCAAUUUCUAUUUUUUUUUUUUUUGGGUGACCUCAGAUCAGGUAGGGAUACCCGCUGAACUUAAG